UACGAAGGGGGCUAGCGUUGCUCGGAAUCACUGGGCGUAAAGCGCACGUAGGCGGAUUGUUAAGUCAGGGGUGAAAUCCUGGAGCUCAACUCCAGAACUGCCUUUGAUACUGGCGAUCUCGAGUCCGGGAGAGGUGAGUGGAACUCCGAGUGUAGAGGUGAAAUUCGUAGAUAUUCGGAAGAACACCAGUGGCGAAGGCGGCUCACUGGCCCGGUACUGACGCUGAGACGCGAAAGCGUGGGGAGCGAACAGG
rnacentral:rRNA from 1 species